rnacentral:rRNA from 1 species
UAGUCCAUGCUGUAAACGAUGAUAACUAGCUGUUGGAUGUAUUAAAACAUCAAGUAGCGAAGCAAACGCGAUAAGUUAUCCGCCUGGGGAGUACGGCCGCAAGGUUAAAACUCAAAGAAAUUGACGGGGACCCGCACAAGCGGUGGAACAUGUGGUUUAAUUCGAGGCAACGCGAAGAACCUUACCAGGGCUUAAAUGCAGUAUGACAGAUUUGGAAACAGAUUUUUCUUCGGACAUAUUGCAAGGUGCUGCAUGGUUGUCGUCAGCUCGUGCCGUGAGGUGUCAGGUUAAGUCCUAUAACGAGCGCAACCCCUAUUGCUAGUUGCCAGCGGAUAAUGCCGGGGACUCUAGUGAGACUGCCGGUGCAAACCGUGAGGAAGGUGGGGAUGACGUCAAAUCAUCACGGCCCUUACGUCCUGGGGCCACACACGUGCUACAAUGGUAGGGGACAGAGAGCAGCCACUUCGCGAGAAGGGAGC